UACGUAGGGUGCGAGCGUUAAUCGGAAUUACUGGGCGUAAAGCGUGCGCAGGCGGUUUUGCAAGCCGGAUGUGAAAUCCCCGGGCUCAACCUGGGAAUGGCAUUCGGGACUGCAAGGCUGGAGUGCGGCAGAGGAGACUGGAAUUCCUGGUGUAGCAGUGAAAUGCGUAGAUAUCAGGAGGAAUACCGAUGGCGAAGGCAGGUCUCUGGGCUGACACUGACGCUCAUGCACGAAAGCGUGGGGAGCAAAAGGG
rnacentral:rRNA from 1 species